CACCGCCAGUCACACUAUGGGAGCUGGCCAUGCCUGAAGUCAUUGCUUUAACCACGAGGAGGGGAUGCCGAAGGCAGGGUUAUUGACUGGAGUGAAGUCGUAAUUAGGUAGUCCUCCAAAUUGCUG
rnacentral:ncRNA from 1 species